AGAAUGUCUGUCAUAGAGCUGGAAAGAACAGCCUGGAGUUCUGGCAUUGUAUCAGUUGAUCUCAAGCUGUGAGGGCCUCAGAGGAGAGGGACAGCCCAGAGAAGGCUGGUGGGGCAAUAACUAAGUAAAGACUGGUGACCUCGGAGUCAACACAUCUCAAAGAGCUGGCAGAAUAACUUCCACCUAUCACAAGGACAGUGUCAGCAGGUAAUCAUGGGGUAGGUGGCUACCAUGGACAUCGGAGGCCCCAGAGCAAGAGGUCGCUGCAGUUUUUGGAACCAUGUGAAGAGCAGAGGGCAAUGGGGAGCAAUCAACAAGAACUCAGUUACCCACACAAAUGUGAGGGAGCACAGAUAAUUCACCAACAGCCAAGAAGCCAUUUAAACUACCGCCCACCAUUUAUUAAGGACUCACCACAGUGAAGGCCCUCUGCCAACUACUACAUGUACAAGAGUUAAUUUAAUUCUCCAGAAGCUUAUGGUGGUGUACCAGAUACAUCACAUGCAUUAUCUCAUUGCUGUCAAGCGGCACUUGUGACGAAUCGAUCUGAAUGUAUUGAGGCGAAUGACAUAGCCACACAGAAUACCAUGUGGAAGAAAGGAACAGAGCCAAGUCGUUCUGGAAACAGAAUCCCAACCCAACCUGGAAUUGUAUUGAAUCUGUGGAUCACUUUGGACAAGUAUGGAUAUCUUAAUAUGAAUCUACCAAUCAAAAAUACAGAAUGUCUCCCUACCCAACAAUGUCUGCCAGCAACAUUUUAUGGUUUUUAGUGUGUCUCUUGAAAUAUGAGAAGGAAAAAUUUUGGAAA